AAAAGAUUACCAUUAUUAAUAAGAAUGGGAUGAGAAGAAACUUUCAGCCCUUGGGGUCCUCAAGAGGGAAUUGGGAUAUCUGUUAUAAAAAAUGCUGAAUCCUACAAAUAAGCCCUGGAAUUUAAAUUCACGCUGAUGCACAGAAGCUACACCAUUUGCUGCAGAGCAGCUCUUCCAGUCAUUCUUUAUUCAAGAGGGGUUGAUGGCAAAAGGAGGCUUGGAUAAUGUUUCUUUCAUAUCUUCCCACCCCUAUGCUAUGAA